rnacentral:misc_RNA from 1 species
GUGAAUCAUCGAAUCUUUGAACGCAAAUUGCACCCUCCUCGAAGAGGAUGAGUGUGUGAGUGUGAGCCUAAAAAAAAUCAACAUCGGUGCUGUUUCGCGGUGACGUUCGUCGGAAAUCGGGUCUUCUUAAACCUUUUGGUUUUUAAGCGACUUAAAAUUUUCUUUUGAUUCCAUGAACGUUUCUAAGAUUUAUAUCUUUACACGUUUAAGGUUAUCGAUUUUAUUAGAUGUUCCCGUCAUAUCGGACC